UUGCCCGCUAGCACAACUGGUAGCUGCGUCUGGUUCUGAACCAGAAGGUUUCAGGGUCGAAUCCUGGGCGGGCAGCCCA
rnacentral:tRNA from 1 species